ACCCACUUUCCAGUUCGCCACAGGCAUUCGUAUCUCCGAACACACAGACCAGAAAUCCAAGUCCAAACUACCAGCUCGGUUCAAGAGCUCUUGCAUGUUUGUGGCACAAGGAAUAGACAAGAACGACCAAAGGAAAUCGAAAUGGGAAUAUAUUUUUAUUCCUUUCAUUUAUCAGGAAGAAAAAAAAGGGGUAACGGAUGACAAAGGGAAUCAUUUGAACACUCAAAAUUUGAAGGAGCAUCCCUUGGCCAGCCGCUAACCCCUUGCUAUGCAGUGAGCUUUUAAGAUACAAACUAAUGGCUUAGACUACUUGAGAUUUCUAUCAUUGGAAAGAAAGUAAAGAAAAGAAACUGGAAACGUGAUUGGAUUGGACAUACCAUAUCUUUUCUAUGAGACAAAGGUGGCAUCAUACAGAGGGAAGAUCGUUAACACCACUUGGGGACAACUGCCACAUUGUUGCACCACGAUCUACCACUCUUACAGAAUAACUUUCACUUCCUUUCAAUUUCUCCAGGUCAGUCUUUUCAACCGUUAAAUCCUAUCCUGGACAAUCAGAGAUACUUGACGGUUCAGCAACCUGGAACAAUUCAUUCUCCUCCCAUUCAAGGACAAGCAAACACAAGCAACUCUACAUUCUAUAUUUGUUUUGUUCCCUUUCAUACUAUGAGAGACUGCCCAUCAGAGACUUCUCGAAAAGGUGACCAGUCAACAAUUUCGACCAUAUUAAAGCAGUUGUGGGCCGUUCGACUGGAUGGGCAUCCAUGAGGUUCGAGAGGACGAGACAAUGGCACUGCUCGAGGCCAAGAAUUGGGUGGCUCAUUACAGGUCAUUUGAACGUUAUCAUCUUCUAAGUGGACUCGGUCGAGGUUGCAGCAGCGGCGGCGACAAACACUGCCUUUUUUUGUUGGCUAUGCCUGGGUUUCGCAUGGUUGGUAUCAAGAGAGAUAGGAACCAUGUUGCUAAUGAGUUAUAGCUCAACAGUCCUUUUCUUUAUCAUCGCCGUCUGUAACUAACUCUAAACUAAACUCAGCUUAAAUGGUAAUGCCUAGGCUCCGUGUGUCACCACACUACAAAUUUUCAGAACCUAGAGUAUAUGCCGAAAGUGAUCAAGAUAUCUACACAAGUUUCACCAUCACAUGAACCAACAAUCAGGGACACCGAACACAGACUAUAAUACCCACUUUCCAGUUCGCCACAGGCAUUCGUAUCUCCGAACACACAGACCAGAAAUCCAAGUCCAAACUACCAGCUCGGUUCAAGAGCUCUUGCAUGUUUGUGGCACAAGGAAUAGACAAGAACGACCAAAGGAAAUCGAAAUGGGAAUAUAUUUUUAUUCCUUUCAUUUAUCAGGAAGAAAAAAAAGGGGUAACGGAUGACAAAGGGAAUCAUUUGAACACUCAAAAUUUGAAGGAGCAUCCCUUGGCCAGCCGCUAACCCCUUGCUAUGCAGUGAGCUUUUAAGAUACAAACUAAUGGCUUAGACUACUUGAGAUUUCUAUCAUUGGAAAGAAAGUAAAGAAAAGAAACUGGAAACGUGAUUGGAUUGGACAUACCAUAUCUUUUCUAUGAGACAAAGGUGGCAUCAUACAGAGGGAAGAUCGUUAACACCACUUGGGGACAACUGCCACAUUGUUGCACCACGAUCUACCACUCUUACAGAAUAACUUUCACUUCCUUUCAAUUUCUCCAGGUCAGUCUUUUCAACCGUUAAAUCCUAUCCUGGACAAUUAGAGAUACUUUGACAGUUCAGCAAUCAGGAGCAAUUCACUCGUUCCAUGCAAGGACAAGCAAACACGAGCAACUUUACAGAAAUUGUAAUGCAGCAAAAAACCAGUCAUGACAAAAAAGAUUGCCAAAAUCAUAACAAGAGGCAACCGCUCACAGCAAAAACAAAGAUAACAAGAUAGAGUGUCAAACCUUCAUA
rnacentral:lncRNA from 1 species